GAGGACAGGCUGCGAGCGUGAUUGGGAUGUUAGCGGGCUUGCUCACUUCGGACGCGCGUUAGUCGUUCUCUUCCGAAGGCUGAACUAACGAGUGGUUCGCACUGAUUAGUGUUGCUAAAUUGGUUGUUUUACUAUAUGAACCGCUAACACGGGGAGCUGGGAACGUCUGGUAUUGUUAAAAGUGUGUAAUAUCGAAAAAAACGCAACAGUGCUUGAUGCGCGUGCCUCCAAUAGCCCUGCACCUCCUCGCUGGUGGGUUAGCCAGCAGCCUGCUUCUUUUUUUCUUGGCUAAUUUGAAUAGACAGUCAUUCUGGAAAACGUCGUCUAUUUGGAGAAGCAUCCACUUGCAGAGCCACAGCACCAUACGUCACCGCAGUUUCAGAGCCGCAGUUGUAGACCCGCAGUUUUAGACCCGGAAGUGACGUUACCAUUUCUAGGCAAGGCGAAAACAACGCCUCCAUUUAUCGAACACAAGUCUUAGUUUUUAGCACGAGCGCAGCAUUUUUGAGCACGAACAAAAUAUGACAGAAAACAGCACGUAACAUGACAAAACGAAUAUCUUCAGGCACAUGGAUACUAAUUAAAAACAAGAAUCUUCCACAGCAGUUGGUUGGGUCAGUGGAUUGUGGAGUAUUCAUGUUGAUGGACAAAGGCGUUCACUAAAGGGGCACUGGAGAGUGUGAAUGAGACCCAGAGCAGUGAGGAGGAACCACUAAUAAAAAGGGACCUCCACACUGCAGUAAAAUGGUUGCC